UACAGAGACUGCAAGCGUUAUUCGGAUUCACUGGGCGUAAAGGGUGCGCAGGCGGCCAAGUGUGUGAGGCGUGAAAGCCCCCGGGCUCAACCUGGGAAUUGCAUUUGAGACUGCGUAGCUAGGGUGCGGAAGAGGGAAGCGGAAUUUCCGGUGUAGCGGUGAAAUGCGUAGAUAUCGGAAGGAACACCAGUGGCGAAAGCGGCUUCCUGGUCCAGCACCGACGUUCAGGCACGAAAGCGUGGGGAGCAAACAGG
rnacentral:rRNA from 1 species